AGCCCCUGCUGAGAAUGAAAUUCAGAUUUUAUUCAAUCUGAAAGUUGUGUGUGUUUUAGAUACAAUUGAAAAAAAACUUGAAUCUGGACUUUGUGAUACUAAAAAAUUUCCUCAUCAUUUUGUUCUGCAGCCAUUUUUACAGGUUGAAGCUUAUAACUGAAAACUUGAUUCAAAGAAUCGCAGCUGAAGAAAUCAAACUAAGUGAGUUGAAUAUUUUCUAAACAUGUUAAAUAUAUUGGUACAAGUUUGUCCAAUCAUUUUGCUGAAAUUGGUACAAGCUUGUGAAAUUGUAGACUCUCUCUUUUGUAGCAAUUUAAAAAUCUCAUCUCUUCAAAUCUAUAUAUAAAACAGGUGGAUAACAGAAAAAUUGGUACUAGAGCCUUUGUCUUCUUUAUGAUUCUCUGAUACUUUGAAAAACCGUUCACUUGACUAACCUGCGAGUGAAUUUCCCUUGAGUAGUUACUUAUGUAAUCUUCUCAUGAUGCAGACAGCUAACUCAAACUCCUUAGUUACUGUCUUCUAAAUGCAGUUUAAAUUUCUUGCAUUUGCUUCCUUCUAGAGCUUCUUUUCAGCCACUGCCACCAGCAUUGAGAUGUGUCGUUUAUCAAACUAGAUACAUGACACUUUCACAUUAUUGAAGUGAGUAGCCUUGAGACAGUUCAUGCAGCACUUGCACUUGUCUCUUCCAUUUUCUUCUUCUAAGAAUCCCACUGAAUCACUCCAAUAACCUCUUCUUAGCUUACUCAGCCCUAAAAAACAUAAUAAUUCAGAAUCCUGCAACUUAUUCUAGGAUCUGCAACUUAGUUUCGAAAACCUGCAAUUCUCUAGAGAUCUGCAAUUCGUUUCUGAAUAUCUUAACCAAUCAACGACCUUCAAACAAAUCCGUAAGAGUCCUUUUACCCACAGAUUUAUAACCUUUGAACUUGUUCAUAACCAGUUAUUCUUGGCUUUCCUUUCUUUUGGUAAACUGAACUUCCAUGAAUCUUUAUCAAACAUUUUCUGCAGCCUUUUGACUCAUCCAUUGAGCUACAUACCUAAGACAACCUCCAUGAACAUAGCUUCACCAGAAACUAAAAAAAAGGAUGUCACUUUGUCUUUGUAAGCUCAGCUUCUCUUCUAUGAGUUAUGCUGCAUGCUCUUCACUGUUUCUUUGAUUCACUCACACGUUCUAAUGUAUCCGAAUGAGUUUCUGUGACAUAACUCUUAAGAA